rnacentral:rRNA from 2 species
UGGGGAAUAUUGGACAAUGGGCGCAAGCCUGAUCCAGCAAUGCCGCGUGAGUGAUGAAGGCCUUAGGGUUGUAAAGCUCUUUCGCCCGCGACGAUGAUGACGGUAGCGGGAGAAGAAGCCCCGGCUAACUCCGUGCCAGCAGCCGCGGUAAUACGGAGGGGGCUAGCGUUGUUCGGAAUUACUGGGCGUAAAGGGCGCGCAGGCGGCUGCUCAAGUCAGGCGUGAAAGGCCUGGGCUCAACCCGGGAAUUGCGCUUGAGACUGGGCUGGCUUGAGUGCGGGAGAGGAUGGUGGAAUUCCCAGUGUAGAGGUGAAAUUCGUAGAUAUUGGGAAGAACACCGGUGGCGAAGGCGGCCAUCUGGACCGCAACUGACGCUGAGGCGCGAAAGCGUGGGGAGCAAACAGG